rnacentral:rRNA from 1 species
GACGAAGGGAGCUAGCGUUGUUCGGAAUCACUGGGCGUAAAGCGCACGUAGGCGGCUGUGUCAGUCAGGGGUGAAAUCCCGGAGCUCAACUUCGGAACUGCCUCUGAUACAGCACGUCUUGAGUCCGAUAGAGGUGGGUGGAAUUCCUAGUGUAGAGGUGAAAUUCGUAGAUAUUAGGAAGAACACCGGUGGCGAAGGCGGCCCACUGGAUCGGUACUGACGCUGAGGUGCGAAAGCGUGGGGAGCAAACAGG